GAUGAAGAACGCAGCGAAAUGCGAUAAGUAAUGUGAAUUGCAGAAUUCAGUGAAUCAUCGAAUCUUUGAACGCACAUUGCGCCCGGCAGUAAUCUGCCGGGCAUGCCUGUCCGAGCGUCAUUUCACCCCUCGAGCCGCUUUUAGUGGAUCGGUGUUGGGGCACUACGGUAAAACGUAGGCCCCGAAAUGAAGUGGCGGUCCCGCCGCGGUGCCCCCAUGCGUAGUAACGUUUAGUCUCGCAUCGGGUCCCGGCGGAGGCCUGCCGCCAAGCCUUUUAUUCUCAGAAUAGUUUGACCUCGGAUCAGGUAGGGUUACCCGCUGAACUUAAGCAUAUCAAUAAGCGGAGGA
rnacentral:misc_RNA from 1 species